UGAGCUUUGAAAGGGGAAAUCAGUAGCGCCGCAGAGAGCAAAUCAGUGACCCCAUUCCUGUGACUUCGUCUUCUUCGCUCCACCCAUCGACCACCCUGUAUCUUCAACGUAGCUUCACCCACCUCCAUCGCCACCAGUCACCCACAGAUGCAAAUACAGUGAAGGGGAAACGGAAGAGGAAAUGGAGGUGUAGACAGCUGAUUUUCGUUUCAUAAUUUAGUUUUCUUCCCAUUUUCGAUUUAGAAACCAUGGAAUCGACGGGGUUUGAUUGGGUUCGUUCCAAUGCCGAUUCGAGUUUCUGUUUGAGGUUCGGCAUCGGAUUGUGAGUUCGAUUCCAUCCGCUGCUUAAGGUUCGCGGUUUCUGCUGAUCUUUCGCCGCUGAUUUCGCUUGGAUUUAGGGUCGAAAUUUUGUACUCGACAAUUCUUCCACCAAUAUUAAGGAAAUCUUUGUUUGAACAGGUACAUAUUCCCUAAGCUAUGUAAUCUGAUGCUCAAGUGGAAAUGAAAUGAAGGAAUGGAAGGUUUUUUGGAGUUUAUGGUGUUCAGUCAUGUUUAAACUAUUGUUUGCAUCAUUUCCUUAUGUAAAUCUUAGCUGUGAGUUUGUUUGGUUUUGAGUGCAUCUGAGAGCUAUAUAUUUGCUAGUUCAGUUUAUUUACGUUAGAUCUAGUCUUCUCAUGCAUCAAGCAUCCAAGCUCACUUAUGUAUAGCUUGAGGUGUAGCACAUUGGUUAAAGGUUGUUUACAGUAUGCCUGUUAGUUCAAGCUACAAGUGAAUCUGAGUCUAUAAUCAGAGUUGAGACUCUUCUAUUUUUGGUUGGUUUUAAGAUUUGCAUCUGGUAUUGUCAGAAUUCUGUGUGAGUCCUCGGAUUUGUCUGAAAGUAGUUACAAUUCAAAGAAUUACUUAAGAGCUGUAUUUGUAAUAAUGUUCAGGCCAGUUUUAAGCCAUUCGUUGUUGUGAACAUUCUGUGAUUAAACUGAUGCUUGAAAUCAUGAUUGUUAAAGGUCAA